rnacentral:rRNA from 1 species
GUGGGGAAUAUUGGACAAUGGGCGAAAGCCUGAUCCAGCCAUGCCGCGUGUGUGAAGAAGGUCUUCGGAUUGUAAAGCACUUUACGUUGGGAGGAAGGGCAGUAAGUUAAUACCUUGCUGUUUUGACGUUACCAACAGAAUAAGCACCGGCUAACUUCGUGCCAGCAGCCGCGGUAAUACGAAGGGUGCAAGCGUUAAUCGGAAUUACUGGGCGUAAAGCGCGCGUAGGUGGUUCAGCAAGUUGGAGGUGAAAUCCCCGGGCUCAACCUGGGAACUGCCUCCAAAACUACUGAGCUAGAGUACGGUAGAGGGUAGUGGAAUUUCCUGUGUAGCGGUGAAAUGCGUAGAUAUAGGAAGGAACACCAGUGGCGAAGGCGACUACCUGGACUGAUACUGACACUGAGGUGCGAAAGCGUGGGGAGCAAACAGGAUUAGAAACCCGAGUAGUCC